AUUCAUUUAAUUGUUUAAACCUUUAUUGUAAUUACGCUUGUCGACAGUCACUUAUUAGUAGGCGAAGUCGUCUGCCUACUGCUUUAUCUUAGGAGUGAUGAACUAGACUUACGACUGUGCGGAUCAGAUCCUGAAACCAUUUGCUUUAUUCGCGAAAUAUUUUUGUCUUUUUCUGAUUUUGUGUUUGUGCGAAUGUGUUUUCAUUUUAUUAAGUUACUAAAUUGCAUGUUUGCGCCCCUGUGUUCACUCGUCACAAUUUGCUUAUUGGCUAUGAGCCUUCUUUGAACCCUUAGGGUUUGGCUCCGUGGAGCUUUUGAACUUAAUUCUUCAGGCCCAUUGUGGGAUUUAACUUGCAUGCUUGCAUGCAUUUAACUUAACUUCACCCUUAUUACCUUAACUUGUGAGCGAACACUCCUUACCCUAUUUUCACUUUUUUCACUUCCUAUUGUUCUCAAACAAGAGAACUCAUACUAUGGUUGCCACCCGUGGUAACAAAUAGGUAUGUAUCAAUAAAUUCAUUCAUGAUUGUAAUUGCUAAAACCGUUAUUAGCUGCUAUAUUAGCUAGACUUUAUUCGGUAUAUUGUACUAAGUCAACCGUUCAUAUUCACCAGAUAAGAAUCUCCGCACCUCAGCUUACCGAUUGGACUUGAAAACCUGCUACUUGUUCUUUUUUCCAUAACCGGAUCUAAAUAACGUUGUCCUUUAACGUCGCUUUCGCGCUUUUGCAACCUUUGCCGUUAUCAUCUCACUAAUGGAAGAUGUUAACUACUUCGCCUGGACUUCUGAAUAAAAGUUUCGUCGUUUUCA